rnacentral:rRNA from 1 species
GAUGAACGCUGGCGGCGUGCCUAAUACAUGCAAGUCGAGCGAACGGACGAGAAGCUUGCUUCUCUGAUGUUAGCGGCGGACGGGUGAGUAACACGUGGAUAACCUACCUAUAAGACUGGGAUAACUUCGGGAAACCGGAGCUAAUACCGGAUAAUAUUUUGAACCGCAUGGUUCAAAAGUGAAAGACGGUCUUGCUGUCACUUAUAGAUGGAUCCGCGCUGCAUUAGCUAGUUGGUAAGGUAACGGCUUACCAAGGCAACGAUGCAUAGCCGACCUGAGAGGGUGAUCGGCCACACUGGAACUGAGACACGGACCAGACUCCUACGGGAGGCAGCAGUAGGGAAUCUUCCGCAAUGGGCGAAAGCCUGACGGAGCAACGCCGCGUGAGUGAUGAAGGUCUUCGGAUCGUAAAACUCUGUUAUUAGGGAAGAACAUAUGUGUAAGUAACUGUGCACAUCUUGACGGUACCUAAUCAGAAAGCCACGGCUAACUACGU